CUUGACAUCCAGAGAACUUGGCAGAGAUGCCUUGGUGCCUUCGGGACCUCUGAGACAGGUGCUGCAUGGCUGUCGUCAGCUCGUGUUGUGAAAUGUUGGGUUAAGUCCGCAACGAGCGCAACCCCUAUCCUUUGUUGCCAGCGAUUCGGUCGGGAACCCAAAGGAGACUGCCGGUGAUAAACCGGAGGAAGGUGGGGAUGACGUCAAGUCAUCAUGGCCCUUACGAGUAGGGCUACACACGUGCUACAAUGGCGCAUACAAAGAGAAGCGACCUCGCGAGAGCAAGCGGACCUCAUAAAGUGCGUCGUAGUCCGGAUCGGAGUCUGCAACUCGACUCCGUGAAGUCGGAAUCGCUAGUAAUCGUAGAUCAGAAUGCUACGGUGAAUACGUUCCCGGGCCUUGUACACACCGCCCGUCACACCAUGGGAGUGGGUUGCAAAAGAAGUAGAUAGCUUAACCUUCGGGAGGGCGUUUACCACUUUGUGAUUCAUGACUGGGGUGAAGUCGUAACAAGGUAAGCGUAGCGAG
rnacentral:rRNA from 1 species